rnacentral:rRNA from 1 species
AACGAACGCUGGCGGCAUGCCUAACACAUGCAAGUCGAACGAGACCUUCGGGUCUAGUGGCGCACGGGUGCGUAACGCGUGGGAACCUGCCCUUAGGUUCGGAAUAACUCCCCGAAAGGGGUGCUAAUACCGGAUAAUGUCUUCGGACCAAAGAUUUAUCGCCUUUGGGUGGGCCCGCGUUGGAUUAGCUAGUUGGUAGGGUAAAAGCCUACCAAGGCGACGAUCCAUAGCUGGUCAGAGAGGAUGAUCAGCCACACUGGGACUGAGACACGGCCCAGACUCCUACGGGAGGCAGCAGUGGGGAAUAUUGGACAAUGGGCGAAAGCCUGAUGCAGCAAUGCCGCGUGAGUGAUGAAGGCCUUAGGGUUGUAAAGCUCUUUUACCCGGGAUGAUAAUGACGGUACCGGGAGAAUAAGCUCCGGCUAACUCCGUG